rnacentral:piRNA from 1 species
CACUUCUCCAAUGUUCUUGUCAUGCAG